CGAAAACAUGCCAGUGAAUGGAAAGAAGCCAAGGUCCCCUCCCUCCCUGCUUAUACCCUCAACUUUGCCAAUGAGGACCCUAAAUACCAGCUGCACUACAGGGGAUGUAACUACAUACACCGUCACCAAAGUUGCAGCCUGGCCAAGAAAUGCCAGGGGACGUCGCGGCGAUUGCAGACUCCGCGGUGACUGUGUAGAUACGUCCAGAAUUCGCCCUUGUAGCGCGGGGAGAGGCGAGAGUGAAGGCCUAGAAAAAAAGAAGAAUAAAUGGGACAUUACACAAGUUCCUUUAAAGAUUCUUCACGUUGAUAUAAGGAGCCUGCUUCCUCAUUGCCAUUUGGGUGCAGAGUUCUUCCUGUCAGCCCACUCAUCAUGCUCAUCAUACCUUGCUGCCAGGCCUCUCUAUGCUGAUGACUCGAGGAAAAC
rnacentral:lncRNA from 1 species